rnacentral:tRNA from 1 species
UUAAUUGAAACCAAAAAGAGGUUUAUUAUUGUUAAUAAUAAUAUUGAAUAAAAUAAUUUCCAAUUAAA